ACGGAGGGUGCAAGCGUUACUCGGAAUUACUGGGCGUAAAGCGCGUGUAGGCGGUCCAGCAAGUCUGAUGUGAAAGCCCCGGGCUUAACCCGGGAAGUGCAUUGGAAACUGUGAGACUUGAAUACUGGAGAGGAUGGUGGAAUUCCCGGUGUAGAGGUGAAAUUCGUAGAGAUCGGGAGGAAUAUCAGUGGCGAAGGCGACCAUCUGGAAGAUAACUGACGCUGAGACGCGAAAGCGUGGGGAGCAAACAG
rnacentral:rRNA from 1 species